AUGACAUCUCUACUCCUAAUGUCUCAAUUGAUAGUCUCCGUCCCACGGUUAAUUUUCGUCCCAUCUUUUCUGGUUUAUUUUCGUCCUCCCUCCCACCUCGCAGGUAGAGAGGUCGACAAAAAAACUCCCAGCGACCCCUCCACGUCGGUCGAACCAAGGGCAAACCUCCCGUCGCAGAAAGGGCGGAAAAAACCUCCGAAAUUAAACCAGCGAAAAAAAUCUACGAAAUUAAACCAGCGAAUCGGUCGCACGAGGCCCCCUGCCCUCGUGCGAGAGCGAGAACCACUCGCACGCACGACUCGUUUGUGUAAAGGAAAAAAACACGACCACAGGAGGAGCACGGGCUCGCCUCCUCUCCCUCUCGCCCACUAA
rnacentral:rRNA from 1 species